GGUGGGAUUCCUGAGCGGUUAAAAGGAGCAGACUGUAAAUCUGACGUCAAAUAGACUUCGAAGGUUCGAAUCCUUCUCCCACCA
rnacentral:tRNA from 2 species